GGGUGAGCCCUGUACGACCAGCUCCCUCUAAUCCCCCAGGUCAGGAAUGAAGCAAGGGCGUGAGGUUUGUAGCGGUGCGAUGCAGUAAGCUUGCCCAUU
rnacentral:SRP_RNA from 1 species